UCAAUUCCAUCUACUUGUCUGCGUGGAACAAUAGUUUCACAGGGAACAUACCUCUCUCAAUCUGCAACCGAAGCUCUCUCGUCGUCCUUGAUCUAUCCUACAACAACUUCACCGGUCCAAUUCCUCAAUGUCUAAGUAACUUAAAAGUAGUGAAUCUGAGGAAGAACAGCUUGGAAGGAAGUAUACCUGACAAGUUCUAUAGAGGUGCUUUGACACAGACGCUUGACGUUGGUUACAAUCGACUAACCGGGAAGAUUCCAAAAUCACUUUUAAAUUGCUCCUUUCUGAAGUUUCUGAGUGUUGACAACAACAGAAUUGAAGACACGUUUCCUUUCUGGCUGAAGGCGCUACCCAAUUUGCAUGUCUUUACUCUCCGUUCAAACAGAUUCUUCGGCCAUCUCUCUCCUCCUGAUCGAGGUCCUCUCGCAUUUCCUGAGCUGCGGAUACUUGAAUUGUCGGAUAACAGCUUUACCGGAAGCUUGCCACCAAGUUUCUUUGUUAACUGGAAAGCAUCAUCAGUCAAGAUAAAUGAAGAUGGGCGUAUGUAUAUGGGAGACUACAAAAAUGCUUAUUAUAUCUAUGAAGACACUUUGGAUUUGCAAUACAAAGGUCUAUUCAUGGAGCAGGGGAAAGUCCUUACUUCCUACAGCACCAUUGAUUUCUCUGGAAACAAACUUGAAGGACAGAUUCCUGAGUCCAUUGGUCUGUUGAAGGAAUUGAUUGCGCUCAACUUAUCAAACAACGCCUUUACUGGCCAUAUUCCUAUGUCUUUGGCAAAUGUUACGGAGCUUGAGUCACUAGACCUGUCAAGAAACCAACUAUCAGGGAAUAUUCCUAGAGAACUCGGAAGCCUUUCGUUUUUGGCGUAUGUAAGUGUGGCUCAUAAUCAACUCAAAGGUGAAAUACCACAAGGACCACAGUUUAGUGGGCAAGCUGAAUCAUCAUUUGAAGGGAAUGUAGGUCUAUGUGGUCUUCCUCUCCAGGGAAAUUGCUUUGCGCCACCAACACUCUAUUCAAAGGAAGAAGACGAAGAAGAAGAAGAGGACGAAGUGUUAAACUGGAAAGCAGUGGUUAUCGGGUAUUGGCCUGGACUGUUACUUGGAUUGGUAAUGGCACACGUCAUUGCUUCAUUCAAGCCGAAGUGGUAUGUCAAGAUAGUUGGUCCAGAUAAGGGCAAGCAAGUAGAUCCAGUUAGAUUGUUUAUGACUCUGGAUUCAAGAUGGGACAGUUUUAAUAAUAAGGAUAAUGUAGAAGAAGAAAGUGAUACGAAAAUAUAGAAUGUGGAUAUGUUGUUACCUGAUGUAAGAAAGAAGUUGACUAGUUUCUGUAACUUUUGGUUCCCUAAAUUAAGAUCUCUCUUUUGGCUGAUAAUAUCCUGAUGUAUCUCUUGGUAGAUUGUUGAGGUAGAGGCUUAUGACAUAAGGCAUUGGUUCUUCUCUGAUUCUUGAAUUAACCCGAGCCGAUGUUUCUUAAUGCACGAAAACCGUUGUUUCAGCUUCCUAUUAAGACAAACUGGAUGAAAUGAACAUAAGACAGUCCGAGCCUGUAAGAUCAUACAAGUCUCAAGAAUUCAAUCUCAGAACAGACAUUCACGAGAAUCUCUUUUUUAAAAUGUAAAUGCUACCACUCACAAUUGAUACAAAUCAGUUUAUAUCAUGAGAGGACUUACCAAAUAUAACAAUCUUGUUACACUUUGAACUAACAUUCUCAGAUAACAGAGUAUGCACAACAUAUCAAUCCAGAGUAGCUAAAACCCUAGAAUCAAAUUCACUAAAUUGAUUUCAUUUCAUGAUUCGAUUAUUCUUGCUUAUCAAAUCACGAGAGAAAAAAAAAAAAAAAAAAAAGAGUACAACAAAUGAGAUCACCUGGAACUACUUGAUUUAGGAAGCCUCUACCAAAACGUCGACGAGAGUGACGGUGAUCGCAAUAGCUCCGCCGUCGUCGCAUCAUAAAAUCUCCUUCUCGAUUUGUUUGUUACUAAAGUAGACUUUACAGGAAAUACUAACAAUCUGGUUAAUUAAAUUAUUAUUACCGGUUUUGUCUAAAUUGGUUUACUUACUGCUGGUUUAGCAUUUUAAAAAAUUAGUGCUGCUGGUUCAGCUUCUUUUUACUACAAACAAACACCAAAGAGAUCUA
rnacentral:lncRNA from 1 species